rnacentral:rRNA from 1 species
GGCAGCAGUGAGGAAUAUUGGUCAAUGGACGAGAGUCUGAACCAGCCAAGUAGCGUGAAGGAUGACUGCCCUAUGGGUUGUAAACUUCUUUUAUAUGGGAAUAAAACAGGGUAUGCAUACCCUCUUGUAUGUACCAUAUGAAUAAGGAUCGGCUAACUCCGUGCCAGCAGCCGCGGUAAUACGGAGGAUCCGAGCGUUAUCCGGAUUUAUUGGGUUUAAAGGGAGCGUAGGUGGAUUGUUAAGUCAGUUGUGAAAGUUUGCGGCUCAACCGUAAAAUUGCAGUUGAAACUGGCAGUCUUGAGUACAGUAGAGGUGGGCGGAAUUCGUGGUGUAGCGGUGAAAUGCUUAGAUAUCACGAAGAACUCCGAUUGCGAAGGCAGCUCACUGGACUGCAACUGACACUGAUGCUCGAAAGUGUGGGUAUCAAACAGGAUUAGAUACCCUGGUAGUCCACACAGUAAACGAUGAAUACUCGCUGUUUGCGAUAUACAGUAA